GGGAGAAGGGGUGCUCCAGAGAUGGAGCCGCAGAGAAUCGGCCCAAGCAACUGUUUACCAAAAACACAGGUUUGUGCUAAAUCGAAAGAUGACGUAUACGAGCUGACGCCUGCCCGGUGCUGGAAGGUUAAGAGGAGAUGUGCAAGCAUUGAAUCGAAGCCCCAGUGAACGGCGGCCGUAACUAUAACGGUCCUAAGGUAGCGAAAUUCCUUGUCAGGUAAGUUCUGACCCGCAUGAAAGGCGUAAUGAUUUGGGCACUGUCUCAACAGCCCGCCCGGCGAAAUUGUAGUACCGGUGAAGAUGCCGGUUACCCGCGACAAGACGGAAAGACCCCAUGGAGCUUUACUGUAGCCUAAUAUUGGGUUUCGAUGUUGCAUGCACAGGAUAGAUGGGACACUGGGAAACAAUCGCUUUGGCGGUUGCGGAGUGGCCGUUGGGAUACCAUCCUUGCGAUAUUGGAAUUCUAACCUGCGGCUCUGAAUCGAGUCGGGGGACAUUGUUAGGUGGGCAGUUUGACUGGGGCGGUCGCCUCCUAAAGAGUAACGGAGGCGUUCAAAGGUUCGCUCAGCUUGAACGGAAAUCAAGCAAAAGAGUGCAAACGCAGAAGCGAGCCUAACUGCGAGACUGACGGGUCGAGCAGUAACGAAAGUUGGAGUUAGUGAUCCGGUGGUAUGUGAGUGGAAAUGCCAUCGCUCAACGGAUAAAAGCUACCCUGGGGAUAACAGGCUGAUCUCCCCCAAGAGUCCACAUCGACGGGGAGGUUUGGCACCUCGAUGUCGGCUCAUCGCAUCCUGGGGCUGUAUUCGGUCCCAAGGGUUUGGCUGUUCGCCAAUUAAAGCGGUACGCGAGCUGGGUUCAGAACGUCGUGAGACAGUUCGGUCCCUAUCUAUCACGGGCGUAGGAAAUUUGAGGAGAGCUGACCUUAGUACGAGAGGACCGGGUUGGACGUACCGCUGGUGCACCUGUUGUUCUGCCAAGGGCAUAGCAGGGUAGCUAAGUACGGACGGGAUAAACGCUGAAGGCAUCUAAGCGUGAAGCCCCCUUCGAGAUAAGAUUUCCCAUAGCGUAGGCUAGUAAGGACCCAUGAAGACUACAUGGUUGAUAGGCCGGAGGUGGAAGUGCAGUAAUGUAUGCAGCUGACCGGUACUAAUAGCCCGAGGGCUUGACCUA
rnacentral:rRNA from 1 species